GGCGUGGAGUGAGGGUCUGGGGAGGGAUCGAUCAGAGGGCUCGGGGCCUCGGGGAGGAGCGCCGUCAUCCGGCGGUACCGGUGGCGUGCCGGGGCCGAUUUAAUCGGGCUCGGCUCGGGAGGGAGAGGAGGACCUGUGGUGGUCUCGGGAGGUGGUGUGGGGAUCUCGGAGGGGCUGUGGGUCGAGGAGGAGAGGCGCCGAGGAGGCAGGAAGAAUCCAGCAGGCUCGGGGCGGUAACGGCGGCAGGCGGGGCUGGAUCUGGUGCGCGAGGGGACUAAAGGGGCGGGAUGCAUGGGGCGGACCGACCUGCGCGACGAGGAGGGGCUCGUGGGGCCACCGGCUUCGCGGAGGUUGCCACCGGAUACGGUGGGCCCGAGGAGCGGCCGCGCGCGCCGGAGGAGACAAGACCUCGGCUGUAGCCCUCCUUCUUCCCUUCCUCGCUCGUCCUCUCUAUCUCCAGGCCACCCGGGGGACCGUCACUGUGUCCGCAAGUGGGCCGCCAGCUGCACCUAUUCACUGCGCGGGGUGACGGGCACCCUGGGCGUGCAGUCACAGUGCGCUCGGCCGGGGCGGAGACGGAUCAGUACAUUCACCUUCGUAUAAGAGUCCUUAUGCAAAGGCAAAGAGCUUUCACGUAACAGGGAAGAAUAUUUGGCCUUGUGCGAAAGGGAAGACCCUUCGCAUAAAGGAGAUUGAAGUGCGUUUUAUGCAAAAGGGAAAAGUCUUUUACAUGAGUCGCUUUCCGCGAAAGUUAAAAACGGAGAUCCCUGAACAAACAACUUAAAAAUAAGUGUCUAACCAGGGACCACAAGUUGUGGAGUAUAGAGGCGUUGACAUUGAGGCUAACUCCACUUAGGUUUCGGGUGAAGAAGCAGAGCAGCUCGAGCUUGAAAACCACAGUAAAAGUGAUACCAAACUGUAUGACCUUUACUGGUAAAGUGGGAACGGGGAUUACUCGGGGAAGGCUCUCGCUUAGAAAAGGCCGCUUAGAAAAGCGCCAGCAAGGCGUGAAGAGGGGCUUCGGAAGAAGUAUGGGUCAAACGUCCAGUACGGUCUAUACUAACGAGUAAACGGUACCUAGGGAACAAACGCGCGAUCCUAUUCGCAAGGUCGGUCUCAGGGAUGCCUCACCUCAAGUAGUGGCGACAGCAACAAGGCGACGGUUAUCAGUAAGGCGACGCAGCUCAACAAGACGACGAACGUAUCUCGUUCGCACCGUCCGCAUCACAGCGACACGGCUACAUUAGGGGAACCUGGGUUAUAUCG
rnacentral:rRNA from 1 species